rnacentral:rRNA from 1 species
UGGUGGAGUGAUUUGUCUGGUUAAUUCCGAUAACGAACGAGACCUCCGCCAGUAGCCGGGAAAUCGCUACUGGGACUGACCAUGGUUAAUGGUAGGAAGUUGGAGGCAAUAACA